rnacentral:lncRNA from 13 species
UCCGUUAAUGCCUCCUUCGCCGCAUCGUCUGUAAUAUUAAGAAACGAUGUAAGAAAAAUACGACUUUGUCAGAAUCAAAACCAAUGCAAAUUUACAAUUUUGCAAUUGGUACUCGAUAGCAGCCUUCAGAUUGAAGGCCUCCGUCAGAGCUGUCUCAUGCAGUGUCAACGUAUUCCCGACGCUUCGAACUUCGAUGCCCUCGGUGGCCAUCCCUACACUCAGCUCAGGAUGCUCCCUUAUACCAUGCUCGAUAAUAGUAGCUAAAAGGCAAUUAAACGUUCAAGAAUAAUGAUGCUGCAUACUCUUUCAGUUUAAAAUAACAAAGAGCAACGUUGUACGAUAAGUGAGGUCUGAAUCCCGCGAUUUGUAACGCAUUUGAAAAUUUCUUGAGGGCCUGCUCGUAAUGCUCUUCCUAAAAAUACAAUCAUGAAUCUU